rnacentral:rRNA from 1 species
GACGAACGCUGGCGGCGCGCCUAACACAUGCAAGUCGAGCGAUGAAAUUUUAACCGAUCUCUUCGGAGAGAAGAUAAAAUGGAUUAGCGGCGGACGGGUGAGUAACACGUGAGAAACCUGCCUUUCACAAGGGGAUAGCCUCGGGAAACCGGGAUUAAUACCCUAUGACACAUUUCCUUCGCAUGGAAGAAAUGUUAAAACUCCGGUGGUGAAAGAUGGUCUCGCGCCUGAUUAGCUAGUUGGUGGGGUAACGGCCCACCAAGGCCAUGAUCAGUAACCGGCCUGGAGGGGGGGACGGCACCAUUGGACGUGGGACCCGGUCCAAACCCUUGGGGGAGGGAGCAGGGGGGAAUAUGGCACAGGGGGGGAAUCUCGAAGGCAGCGGGGCCGGGUAGGCGUUUAGGGCUUUCGGGUCGUAAGGCUCUGUCCUAUGGGAAGUUAAGGACGGAACCAAAGGAGAAACCCCGGGCAAAUUCGGG